rnacentral:lncRNA from 1 species
AAGAACCAAAAAAGGGAAGCCAGGUGGUUAGGUGUUGAGUGUUGGAAGCAAGGAGUAAUUAACAUUGAGACAAAAGCUGCUGCAGCUGCCGCUGAAAUUCGCUGUGGCCGCUGCCUCUUCCCGCUUUAAUCCCAGACCUCCAGUCAUUGGGCAGCUCCUC